rnacentral:rRNA from 1 species
AAUAGAUACCCCGGUAGUCCACGCCCUAAACGAUGCUUGCUAGCUGUUAUCAGUAGUCGACCCGUGGUAGUAGCGAAGCUAACGCGUUAAGCAAGCCGCCUGGGGAGUACGAACGCAAGUUUAAAACUCAAAGGAAUUGACGGGGACCCGCACAAGCGGUGGAGCGUGUUGUUUAAUUCGAUGAUAAGCGUAGAACCUUACCAGGGUUUGACAUCUCGGGAAUUUCUGCGAAAGCAGAGAGUGCCUUUUGGAACCCGAUGACAGGUGAUGCAUGGCCGUCGUCAGCUCGUGUCGUGAGAUGUUUGGUUAAGUCCAUCAACGAGCGCAACCCUUAUAGUUAGUUUGGAUUUCUCUAGCUAGACUGCCCCGGUAACGGGGAGGGAAGGAGGGGAUGAUGUCAGGUCAGUAUUUCCCUUACAUCCUGGGCGACAAACACGCUACAAUGGCCGGUACAAAGGGCAGCCAACCCGCGAGGGGGAGCAAAUCCCAUCAAAGCCGGUCCCCAGUUCGGAUAGGAGGCUGAAACUCGCCUCCUUGAAGCCGGAAUCGCUAGUAACGGU